GUGGGGAAUCUUGCGCAAUGGGCGAAAGCCUGACGCAGCGACGCCGCGUGGGUGACGAAGGCCUUCGGGUUGUAAAGCCCUGUGGGGAGGAACGAACCGGUUCAUGGCUAACAUCCAUGGGUCUUGACGGUACCUCUUUAGCAAGCAUCGGCUAACUCUGUGCCAGCAGCCGCGGUAAGACAGAGGAUGCAAACGUUGCUCGGAUUUACUGGGCGUAAAGCGCGCGCAGGCGGUUUCGUAAGUCAGACGUGAAAUCCCGAGGCUCAACCUCGGAAGUGCGUCUGAUACUGCAAGACUGGAGUACUGGAGAGGAGAGCGGAAUUCCCGGUGUAGAGGUGAAAUUCGUAGAUAUCGGGAGGAACACCAGUGGCGAAGGCGGCUCUCUGGACAGAUACUGACGCUGAGGCGCGAAAGCGUGGGAAGCAAACAGGAUUAGAUACCCGGGUAGUCC
rnacentral:rRNA from 1 species